GAUUGGCCGAAGCCCACCAAACCAACUAGGGUUCCCAACCAAAGGCACACAUACAUAACCUGCUCCUACCACUUCUCCCUCUACCCUAGCCGCCACUGCUUCUUCUGUCCUCCGGCACCCCAACUCCAUGUUCUUCCCCCACCUCACGACUCCGGCCAUGUUGGCGAAUCCACUCCAUCACAAGACCUCAAUCCCACAGCCCCUCGCCUCAGAUCUCUACUUCCUCACGUGCAGGCUUGCUCCCCUCGCCUCAGAUCUUGACUUCCUCAUCUGAAGGCUUGCUCCACUCGCCUCGCCGUCUCGGCGUAUAGCUACGUACCCUCUCCGUCGACUUCGAGAGGGCCUUCAAGAUCCACGACAAGCUACACAUCGGCCUGAAGCCCUCCCUUUUUUCAAUAUUUUGUCAUGGUGGUUUUAGGGUUUCUUUGUGUCGACACGCAGAUAACAUCAGGCGAGGAGCUGUUGUGUCACCAUGGAAGAAGUCGCAAGAAGAUCUACCACGCCGUCUCCAUUCCGGGACCUCUCACCCGCGCCGCCGCCUCCCUGCGCUCUUUGCCGCCGCCGUCGCCCAUUGCCGUGGACGCCUCCUCCUUGCUGGCGAGAUGUCCGCAGCAAAUGUGUCUAAGCCAGAGGGGGUUGAUGAAGAGGGUGAGAACAUUGGUGCUAUUUGUCCAAGAUUGAUGCUAUUUGUCCCUUCGGGACGUCUACAAGAUUGGUACUGUUUGUGUGCAUGUUGGUCGUGUUGAGACUAAGUCAUCAAUCCCGUUGUUGAUAAACGAUAUUAUUAUAUUUUUGGUGACAUGAUGUCAUUGUAAAUUAUUUUAUUUUUGUACAUAAAUAAUUGGUUGAUGGGCCUCUCUUA